UACGUAGGGUGCAAGCGUUAAUCGGAAUUACUGGGCGUAAAGCGUGCGCAGGCGGUUUUGUAAGUCAGAUGUGAAAUCCCCGGGCUUAACCUGGGAACUGCGUUUGAAACUACAAGGCUAGAGUGUGGCAGAGGGGGGUGGAAUUCCACGGUGUAGCAGUGAAAUGCGUAGAGAUGUGGAGGAACACCGAUGGCGAAGGCAGCCCCCUGGGCCAACACUGACGCUCAUGCACGAAAGCGUGGGGAGCAAACAGG
rnacentral:rRNA from 1 species